AUUGAACGCUGGCGGCAGGCCUAACACAUGCAAGUCGAGCGAGCGGCGGACGGGUGAGUAAUGUAUGGGGAUCUGCCUGAUGGAGGGGGCUCACUACUGGAAACGGUAGCUAAUACCGCAUACCAUCAGAUGAACCCAUAUGGGAUGAGCUAGUAGGUGAGGUAACGGCUCACCUAGGCGACGAUCCCUAGCGGGUCUGAGAGGAUGAACAGCCACACGGGAACUGAGACACGGUCCAGAGUCCUACGGGAGGCAGCAGUGGGGAAUAUUGAACAAUGGGCGCAAGCCUGAUGCAGCCAUGCCGCGUGUGUGAAGAAGGGCUUCGGGUUGUAAAGCACUUUCAGUGGGGAGGCGUUACCCGCAGAAGAAGCACCGGCUAACUCCGUGACAGCAGCGGCGGUAAGUC
rnacentral:rRNA from 1 species